CAAAUAUCCAAAAAACAUUCUGCAAAAAAAUGUUUUACAGAAAAUAUAGUUUUGCUAUUUGCAUAAAAUGUUUUAUAACGUAAAAUUAAAAUGUUUUACAUAAAACAUCUGAAAAAUAUCAGCUAAAUGUUUUCUAUAAAAUAUUCUGACAUACACAUUACUUAAUAGUCUUACUGAUAUUUUAUUCAACAUUUUACGGAUAUAAAAAUAACAUUUUAUUUAAACUUUAUUCAAAACCCCACACACAACGUUUUGUGGAAUUAGCUCGUUUUUUUCAGGAUAAGAUAUAGUACUACAUUUCAUCAAUAUCAUGACAAGCAAGAUACUAUGGUUGAAAUCCUUAAUUGAUAUCUUGAAGAUCCUUGAAGUCAGAUUGUAUUCCUUCUUAUUUUAAAAUUCAAAAGAGUCAACAUUAAAUUACGCAAUAAUGUAUUAAUAAACAAUCACCUUUUUUGUUUAAUGUUUAUUCAUUUCGUUCGUGUAUAUUUUAGAAAUUAAGAAAUGAAAACUGUAACUGUACUAAGUUCAAUUUUCGUAUCGUUUAAAUGUCUUACGGAAAACCGACCUUUUCCGGAAUCGACUUUUGUUUUAUCACCGGAAAUGAUUUUGAAAUUUGAAUUUCGAAACGAAGACAGGAUGUCAACAAAGAGAGCCAAGAAAAUUGUUUGUUACGCGAUAUAUACUCACUUGGAGCUAAAAGAAAAGCCACAAAGGACAAGUUCAAUAUGCAGGUUUACAAUUUGGAAGUGGCGCAGGUUCUUUGGAAUGUCUACAACCUUUCAGGAGAAUUUUUUUUUUGAAAAGCAUGGCACAGCAAGAAAAAGAUAUAAGACACUACAAGACAUUCCAAGUGAUUUUGAAUAAGACAAUUGAUUGACUUUUUCAAUGUAUUCUUAAAUAAAUCAAAUAGUUGAUGUAAAA